CUGGAAAGAACGCAGAUGCCCUUCAACAGAGGAAUGGAUACAGAAAAUGUGGUACAUUUACACAAUGGAAUAUUACUCAGCUAUCAAAAACAAUGACUUUAUGAAAUUCAUAGGCAAAUGGAUGGAUCUGGAAAAUAUCAUCCUGAGUGAGGUAACCCAGAAACAAAAGAACACAGGUGGUAGGCAUUCUCUGAUAAGUGGAUAUUAGCCCCAAAGCUAGGAAUACCAAAGAAAUAAUUCACAGACCAUAUAAAAUUCAACAAGAAGGAUUAUCAAAAUAUGGGUGCUUAAGUUCCUCUUAAGAAGGGGGAACAAAAUACUCUGGGAGGAAAUAUACUAGUGGGACAAAAAGUGGAACAAGG
rnacentral:lncRNA from 1 species